rnacentral:rRNA from 1 species
CGUGUAGGCGGUUGGUCAAGUCUGAUGUGAAAGCCCGGGGCUCAGCUUCGGAAGGGCAUCGGAAACUAGCCAGCUGGAGCGCGAUAGAGGAGGGCGGAAUUCCUGGUGUAGCGGUGAAAUGCGUAGAUAUCAGGAGGAACACCGGCGGCGAAGGCGGCCCUCUGGAUCGUUGCUGACGCUGAGACGCGAAAGCGUGGGGAGCAAACA